UGAGUGAAGAAGGUUUUCGGAUCGUAAAGCUCUGUUGUAAGAGAAGAACGAGUGUGAGAGUGGAAAGUUCACACUGUGACGGUAUCUUACCAGAAAGGGACGGCUAACUACGUGCCAGCAGCCGCGGUAAUACGUAGGUCCCGAGCGUUGUCCGGAUUUAUUGGGCGUAAAGCGAGCGCAGGCGGUUAGAUAAGUCUGAAGUUAAAGGCUGUGGCUUAACCAUAGUACGCUUUGGAAACUGUUUAACUUGAGUGCAAGAGGGGAGAGUGGAAUUCCAUGU
rnacentral:rRNA from 1 species